GUACUUUUAUUAAGGAAUUAAAAAUGAGUAUUAUGUUAAUAUUGGAGUUUAAUAGCUUAUGAUUGAUGGUUGCCUUGUAAUUCCCAAGAGGGAGUUACGGCAGUAAUGUCCCGACCGAAUUAGGAUGUUUCCGCUGCUAAGUAUUCCUUAAUCACUACUACAAAAAUGGGCAAAGAGACCCUUUAGAAAAGACCCCUUGAUCGACAAAACAGGUCUGUUUAAUAUAAAAGAUCUAUUAUUAUAGAUAACGGCUCUCUUAUGAGACAAAUGGCCCACUUUAAAUUAGAGGAAAAAAAAUAAGAGACCCGUUAUCUGACUUAACGGGACUCUAGUGCAUAAAUGAGAUCAUUUAAUUGCGGCACAAAAUUAAAAAAAAACACAACAGACCCUUUAGGUUAGUUAACGGGUCUCUUAUGUAUCAAGGGACCCACCAUUCUUUUAUAAAAUAAUAUAAAAUUAAAUAUAAAAAUAACAAAAGACCUGUCAUUAACAUAACAGGUCUCUCUAUUUUCAUUCAUUUCCUAGCGCUGAACUUUCGCAUAACCCAAUUUCACCCUAGCUAUUUUGUCUUUUCCCUUUUCUUCUUCUUCCCUGGACAUAAAGGCGAGUAGGGCAAGGAAAUCAUUCGCGAAAUCAUCACAAACUCACCACCACCGGCGAAUCUACCACCGAAGAAAUACUUUACGGUCGACGACUUCAUUACCACCGGCGACCUCAACACAAUCUCUAGCGAACUACAAAUUUAGGUGAAUCAUUCAAUUACCGAGCAAAGUAAGAAGAAAUAUAUACUUGCCCCAAUCCGUCAAGAAGGGGAAGAGUUUAUCUUCGAUUCCAUGGCCGAUAGGUAGUUAGACAAUUUGCAUAACAAAGGCUCCUUGUCUGUGCUUGGCUGGCAUUUAGGAAGUACUUCGUAACUAAUAUGCCAUCUGAUUUGACUCCGAUUUAUAAGCCCAUAUACAAAGUUUGUAAUAGUGUUCCUCAGCAGAUCCUAAACCUGGCACAUAAUAAGAAUGAGAUACAUAUAAGAGUUUGUUCUCAUUGACAAGUUCACAAAACGAGUUUAGCAUUUGCAUGCUGUAGCAUUCCAGGUAAUACUCUGGCCUCGUUCCUUGAUUAAGACUUAAUCCAACUGCAUGUUGGGUUGAUUACCAAGAAAUUCAUUUAGGAAGUUAGAGAUGGGACGAAGGUUAACUACGAGGAUGCAUGGACAUUAAUUUGUGUCAUUCCACACAUCUGAAAGUGCAGACGCGAUAGCGAGAGCUUUUGAUCUUGGUAUUAGCGUCAAGAUGCUAUCAGAAUCAAGUAUGGGACCUGGUAAAGGUGUAAUUGGUGGCCCUGCUCUGAAGAAGGCAGUAGGAGCAACAACCAGCUAAAUGGUGCGACUCCGAUUAUUACUUUUAGUGAAUCAGCUUAACGUGUACAAGUUUUUAUGUAUUUUGGAUAUCACAUUUUUUUUUGUGGGGAUUUGGAUCACAGUUGAUGUGAAGUAAGAAAUACUUUUAUUUCGGUAAUAGUAUUAAUUAUUUAUAGUAUUAUCAAGCAUGUUCAAUGCUGAAU